rnacentral:rRNA from 1 species
AUUGAACGCUGGCGGCAGGCUUAACACAUGCAAGUCGAGCGGGGUGAUGGUGCUUGCACUAUCACUUAGCGGCGGACAGGUGAGUAAUGCUUAGGAAUCUGCCUAUUAGUGGGGGACAACAUCUCGAAAGGGAUGCUAAUACCGCAUACGUCCUACGGGAGAAAGCAGGGGAUCACUUGUGACCUUGCGCUAAUAGAUGAGCCUAAGUCGGAUUAGCUAGUUGGUGGGGUAAAGGCCUACCAAGGCGACGAUCUGUAGCGGGUCUGAGAGGAUGAUCCGCCACACUGGGACUGAGACACGGCCCAGACUCCUACGGGAGGCAGCAGUGGGGAAUAUUGGACAAUGGGGGGAACCCUGAUCCAGCCAUGCCGCGUGUGUGAAGAAGGCCUUAUGGUUGUAAAGCACUUUAAGCGAGGAGGGGGCUCUUUUGGUUAAUACCCAAGAUGAGUGGACGUUACUCGCAGAAUAAGCACCGGCUAACUCUGUGCCAGCAGCCGCAGUAA